UACGUAGGGUGCGAGCGUUGUCCGGAAUUAUUGGGCGUAAAGAGCUCGUAGGCGGUUUGUUGCGUCGGCCGUGAAAACCUGCAGCUUAACUGUGGGCCUGCGGCCGAUACGGGCAGACUUGAGUUCGGUAGGGGAGACUGGAAUUCCUGGUGUAGCGGUGAAAUGCGUAGAUAUCGGAAAGAACACCAACGGCGAAAGCACUCUGCUGGGCCGACACUGACACUGAGAGACGAAAGCUAGGGGAGCGAAUGGG
rnacentral:rRNA from 1 species